rnacentral:rRNA from 1 species
UGUCGUCAGCUCCGUGUCGUGAGAUGUUGGGUUAAGUCCGUAACGAGCGCAACCCUGUCCUUAGUUACCAGCACGUUAUGGUGGGCACUCUAAGGAGACUGCCGGUGACAAACCGGAGGAAGGUGGGGAUGACGUCAAGUCAUCAUGGCCCUUACGGCCUGGGCUACACACGUGCUACAAUGGUCGGUACAAAGGGUUGCCAAGCCGCGAGGUGGAGCUAAUCCCAUAAAACCGAUCGUAGUCCGGAUCGCAGUCUGCAACUCGACUGCGUGAAGUCGGAAUCGCUAGUAAUCGUGAAUCAGAAUGUCACGGUGAAUACGUUCCCGGGCCUU